rnacentral:rRNA from 1 species
UACAGAGGUCUCAAGCGUUGUUCGGAUUCAUUGGGCGUAAAGGGUGCGUAGGUGGCGCCGUAAGUCGGGUGUGAAAUUUCGGAGCUUAACUCCGAAACUGCAUUCGAUACUGCGGUGCUUGAGGACUGGAGAGGAGACUGGAAUUCACGGUGUAGCAGUGAAAUGCGUAGAGAUCAUGAGGAAGACCAGUGGCGAAGGCGGGUCUCUGGACAGUUCCUGACACUGAGGCACGAAGGCCAGGGGAGCAAACGGG